rnacentral:rRNA from 1 species
GACGAACGCUGGCGGCGUGCUUAACACAUGCAAGUCGAACGAAGUGGCGAACGGGUGAGUAACGCGUAAUCAACCUGCCCUUCAGAGGGGGACAACAGUUGGAAACGACUGCUAAUACCGCAUACGGCAGGACGGGAUUGCGUCUGAUUAGCUAGUUGGGGGGGUAACGGGCCACCAAGGCGAUGAUCAGUCGCCGGUCUUAGGGGGUGGACGGCCACAUUGGGACUGGGACACGGGCCAGACUCCUACGGGAGGGAGCAGGGGGGAAACUUCGGCAAUGGAGGAAAGUCUGGCGGAACAACGGCGCGGGAGUGAUGACGGCCUUCGGGUUGUAAAGCUCUGUUAAUCGGGACGCGUUACCGGAAGAGAAAGCCACGGCUAACUACGUGCCAGCAGCCGCGGUAAUAC